rnacentral:rRNA from 1 species
GACCAAGGAGUCUAACAUGUGCGCGAGUCGUCGGGUCGUAACGAAACCCGUAGGCGUAAUCAAAGUGAAAGGUGGCGACACUUUCUCGCUUGCCCGAGGGAGGAUGGGAGCAGCCCCGUCUUCUCUUUUACACGCAGGGACGAGGGCCUCCCCGCACUCCCGGGGCGUUCCCGUCUCGUCACGAGUCGGAGCGCACCCAGAGCGUACACUAGCGAUUCUGACGUGCAAAUCGAUCGUCGGAGCUGGGUAUAGGGGCGAAAGACUAAUCGAACCGUCUAGUAGCUGGUUCCUUCCGAAGUUUCCCUCAGGAUAGCUGGUGCCCAGGUGAGACGAGUCUCAUCCUGUAAAGCGAAUGAUUAGAGGCAUUGGGGGUCGAAACGACCUCAACCUAUUCUCAAACUUUAAAUAGAUGAGAACUCCGGCUUGCUCGAAGGGUGAAGCCGGAGAUUCGGAUCAGGGUGCCCAGUGGGCCAAUUUUGGU